UACGUAGGGGGCGAGCGUUGUCCGGAGUUACUGGGCGUAAAGGGCACGCAGGCGGUGCGGCGCGUUUCGCGUGACAGCGGAGGGCUUAACUCUCCGAGGAUGCGAAAGACGGCGGCACUUGAGGGCCAGAGAGGGACACGGAAUUCCGGGUGGAGUGGUGAAAUGCGUAGAGAUCGGGAGGAACACCCGUGGCGAAGGCGGCUCACUGGGCUGACCUUGACGCUGAGGCGCGAAGGCGUGGGGAGCGAACGGG
rnacentral:rRNA from 1 species